CUGCUACUACGAUUCACAACGCUGCUACUACGAUUUUGGCAGCGACUUUUAUACCUGUUGCAUCAUCUGUAAGGGCCCUGUGCAAAAAAUACGAUAGACCUACGUUUUUUUUUAUGCUGACUACACAGGUAAAUACUUGGCAGCGAUUCAAGUUUGUUUAGGGCCUUGUGCAAAAAAUAUGCUUACCUAUGCAUUGUGACGUCAUAAACUUGGCAGCGACGUCAUGUUAGUCCUUCACAAGCCGCGAUGGCUGCUUAUUUUGAUACAAUAACACAGACUUUCACAGCGCUUGAGAAUUCAUGUAAUAACAGUAUGGUCCUAUGGGUUUCAGUACCAAAACUGAUUUUCUACCGUUUUUCUUCCAAGAAAGUUCUGAACAGCUGAAUCCUGGAUCAGCCUAGAUGUUAUUUCACUGGAUUAUUUAAUGAAUAAUACUCUACUGAGUUACCUGGUUACAUGGAUCAGCUAAGAUGUUGUUUCACUGGAUUAUUUAAUUGGGCAUAUAAUUGGAUAAUUCUGUCCUCAACCUGGAAGAUAUGUUUUAUUCCUAACCAUCUAUAAUCCAUUCUCUAUGAAGUUCAGCCUGUCUGCCCAAAUUCCUUUGGAAAUACAUAGUUAGUCAACCAACAUAGAAACAAUCAAACUUGAAGUCCUCAACCUGGAAGAUAUGUUUUAUUCCUAACCAUCUAUAAUCCAUUCUCUAUGAAGUUCAGCCUGUCUGCCCAAAUUCCUUUGGAAAUACAUAGUUAGUCAACCAACAUAGAAACAAUCAAACU